rnacentral:lncRNA from 1 species
CGCCCGGAAGUGGCAACAAGACUGCAACAUCCCCUCACGCCUAGUCUGUAAAGAACUUUGUUUAACCCGGAGGCGGGGCCAGCCAGCUCCGCCCCUCCAGCUGGACGCGGGAGCGAGGUUGAGGUUCAUACCCCUGGGUUCUCUCCAGGCCUGAGGCGGAGAGCCAGCCGCCUGCCUACCUCUGGGCUUUGAACCCCGGGUCUGGUGACUUCGCUUAAAGACCUCGGGCCGAAGGCCCGCCAGGCUCAACCUCGGUUCACAGGACCCCCGACUUGUGUGAGUCGUACACCGCUCUUUACCGUCUCUGGACCUAGGUCAUCUCGGCAGUAAAAUGGGGUGAAAUGACCCGACCUCCCCGGAGGAUGCCGCGCACGAUGUGUGCCUCAAGUUGGCUUCCACUGACCUGAACUGUUAAGAAAGCCCUCCUCAGUGACGCCUUCCCUGAAUCCACAGUGGAGAUUGCCGUUUUCCUGGAACUAAUUCACCCACACUUACCCAUUUCAUCCCUUUCCACCUUUUAUUUCUACCUUUCUGCCCCACUGAUCUCUAGAAUAGGUGCUGGGAGACGUUAGAGUAUUUGAUCUCCCACUCCCCAGUCAUCCCACUUACCGAGCAGUAAUUCUCUGCCUGGCUGCACAUUGCAAUCACUUGGGAAGCCUCUAAAAAUACUGAUGCCAGGGCUCUACCCCAAGCCAGUUAAAAUCUCCAGCGCUGGACCUGGGCAUUGGUACUUUUUGUAAAGCUUUCAGGUCAAGGAAGAGCAAGACUGAAAAUGUUUACCAGAUUUAUAAUCGAGGAGGUCCUGGAUGACCUUGGCAAAAGCAACCCCAAUGGCAUGGGAAUGAAUGUUUACCAAGAUGAUGCCAGUAUAGCUAGUGAGAUGCAGCACCCCAUCCUCAGCCCCCUCGCCUCUGGAAGAGACACCAGACUGCAAAGGGCACCGCGUACAGAAGCUAACGGAACUUGAAUGACAAGACAAAAAGAGCAGAAUCAGUUAGUGUGACACAACAUUCUAACAUGCCUGAUUCUUACAUCAAAUAUGGUAACUUUGGGGUUGGUAGGGGGAGACAAACAAGGAGAAUCCACUUGGGAACAAUUUGAUGAAGUUUGCAAAUCAGCACUUUACCCCCAAAUUAACAACAGCUUGUAUGGAAAAAAAAAUGCUCUUUUAAAAGUAUAUGGUUUGGACAGGUAUAUUUGUUUUCUCUUGUAGUUUUUGUAAAAAAGUAUCAAAACCUUGGCUUUAAAUAUAUAUAUAUAUAUAUAUAUACACACACACACACGUGGCUUUUUAAAAAUUACUUUUUUAUAGCACAAAGUGUUUGUAAAUGCAGAGGGUUUCUGCUAAUUCUUGACUGUGCACAUGGUGCAUAGCCUGAAUGAACAGAGCUUCCUGAUUUUUUUUUAACUGAAAAAUUGAAGCAGUAAUUCUUUAACCUUCUAAAUUCUCCAUACCCUAAAAAUACAGUGUGAGAAGUCUGUUACUCUAUCUUCAUGCAUUUCGGGAAAAGGAAUUAUUUACUCUGAAACAUUUAAUGCUAACUCAUUUAUAUUUUGUGAAACGAUGAGUGUAUGGCUGGAGUUCGGGGGGUAGGGUGGAGAGGCUUGCAUUCCUGUGCCAUUUCCCCAUUCCCACCAGUGCCCAACUGGACAGUGAUUAGUAUCCCCUCUCCAGACUCAACGUCUUCAACAUUUUCGUUUUUCUUUCUCACAGUUGAGAAAAUCUAAGAGGCUCUCGACAACAUGGCAUGCAUCUGUGAAAAUCCCACUGCCCUUAUAUUAGUCUUCAUUGACCAUAUAAAAAAUCUUUGACUCAAAUAUAUGAAAAGCAGUCAGCAUUUCCCUUUGGCCACUGGAAAGCUUGAGGCUGAAUAAUAUCAGUUCUGCAAAGUGCUGGCAAUGCAUCCUAAUGAAUUUUCCAUGAUGCAUGUAGUGCCUUGUACACAAUGAUCAAGAAAUGCUUCAUUGAAUCAGAAAUUAAUCUAUUUUAUAAAGUGCUUACAUUGAAUCUCUUUCCAUACAGCCUCAUUUCUUGCCCCCCUUGAGCCUUUUGUUCCUGUUAGAAUGAACUGUGCAAUUCCUAAAGUCCCUGUGCUCUUUCAUACCUCUGUGUUUUAGCUCGAUGUGUCUCUGUCUGAAGCAGCUUGGAAUCCCCUUCUUAAUUUUUAAGACUUAAGGUCACUUCUAUGAUGACCCUAUUCCUCAUUUCUUAGGUGGAAAGACCCCUCUCUCCUUUGAGCCCUAACAGUGCUCUGAAUAGAAUCAAUGCCUUUUUUGUUUCCACAUAUAUCAUCCUCCACUGCUACUGUGAACUCUGUAAAGUCAGAACAUGUGUGACUGACCUUUACAUCUGCAGUGCCAGGUGUGUAGUUGGUAUCUAGUGAGUGGUUUUAGUGAAUGAAUAUACUGCAGUCAUACUGAGAUAACUGGAGGGAUCAAUAGGACUUACUGCCAUACAUUUAAAUCCGAUCUCAUUCUCUUUUUGCCAGUUAACAGGUUACUUCAAUCUGUUUUAUAAAUAAUCUGUGUAUCAAGAGUAAAUAAGUACAGUUUCGUUUUCUCUGUUUCUAGAAGGCAUUUCAGUUAGUGCCUUUGUAAUUCCACUGGAGGAAAGGUAGACCAUAGUAUAGGUAGCAGGUUUGAUACAAUGUUCAGGCAGCCCAAAAUAGUCUUCCUGCAGAAGGAAAUGGAGGAAACGCACUGGGACUGGCUUCUGAUAAAUUUUCUGCCCCCUUGGCAUUGUCUCUGAGCUUCCUUCCAGCUCUAUAGUCCAGUGACUCUGUGAUCUGUGAUUGGCUGUAGAUAGCUAUGCACGGGGGCAAAAGGCAAAAGAUAUGUAACUGUACCUCAAAAUGAGGCUGAAAAGCCUCUAUGAAUGGGGGAAGGUGGAUCUGACUCCUCAGGUUUCAUCUUAUUUACUGCCGUCCAACACAUGAAUAUAUCACAAUUUGUUUCUUGUAAAGGGUUGCUCCCAUUGCUGCCUCUUUCAAACUGCAGUUGUAGCAUAUGCAGGAAACAUGAAUGUCUCUGAGAAAAAGUUGUGAAUUUCAUUGUCAUUUUGAGAUCUCAGGCUGUAUGUCCAGACCCCAUUCAUCAUUUUUUUCUGUGAAUGCCAGGAUCUUACUGAAAGUUUAGAAACUAUGCCUUAGCCACUGUUAUCAUUUAAUUCCUUGGAAAAUUCAGUUUCUUUGGAAGGUUACAGAAAAAGUCACUUGUUUUGAGUACAUUUCCAUGUUUUUCACUGUCAUCAUUUUUCUUCAGUCAAAAAUAAUUUUACUUUCCGUUCUUAAAAGAAUAGUAAUAUGUGAGUAAGCUCCAUAGGAGUUGGCCACCUGUUCUUAAAAUUCUGUUUGGUAUUGGUCAUUCUAGGUCAACUGCAUUUACCCUCUCAAUGAAUGUUUCAGGACUAUCAACACAUGCAUGUCAUGAGGAGAUUGCUGGAUUAUGCAAAACACACUGCCCAAGCUCCAGAAUAUAGUUAUUUUCUUAGAGUUUAGGAGGCCAAGAGUGACACAGAGGAAGGUCCUAGGUACAGGAUGCUAGAACUCCAGAAUGUCUGACUGAAAAUUCAAAGGGUAUCAAGCUGCAUGUCCUAGACAUUCAGUGCCUGGGCCAGUCUCUAUAGUAAACUUGGGCUGAUCUGGAAACGUCUCCACUUAGCUCUGUAAGGAUGGCACCCUUCAGGGUGCUUCAGAGGAAACUUACUGAAUUCAACCCAAGUGUCCUGAAAGAAAUUGAAGAAGUUACUCAAAGAGCUGAACUUUAAAACAAGGAGUAGCUGAGGGUGAGGCAUAUCCUAUCUUGAGUUUCUGAGCACUCUGGUACCAUGGAAUGUCUGUACACUGACCUUCGCCAAAGCCAAGAAAGCCCUGGUAGGAGUCACAGCAGCCAUGGGUGAGCUGAAAGGCUUUUCCUGACUUCCUGGGGUCUCAGGAAUAGCCAGAGGUGAAAAGAUUUGCCUUUUUUACUACAUAAUUGCACAAACCAUGGUAUCUAUUUUCUGAUCCAGAUUUCCAAAGGCUUUUCUGAAAACUACAAGAUAUACCCCUUGUGGACUGUGUGAAAAUAAAUUUAUCUUUAUGUAUUUGAACAGUAGCCAUAGAUGUGCCUCUUCUCUACAGAUUUUUCUGUCACACACAUACACAUAUAAACACACACAUACACACACAGAGUCUGUGUGGUGGGCCAAACAUGCCAAAAAUAAAUACUCUCACUUCUCUAAAUUAUUUAUAGAACUCAUCUGAUUUUUAAAAUAUGUUAAUAAAUAAUCUAAAUGGGGGAGGGAGUUGAAGUGUUUUUUUUUUUUUUUUACUUAUGUUGAUGGAUAGCCACAAAGCAUAAUCAUCUUAUUUACAAAAAACAAAUGCCCCAAAACCUAAAAAAGCCCCCCCAGCAACCAAACAUCUUCUGUAAAUAUAGUUUUUAAAUGAUGAGUAAGGUACUGUGCCAUUGGCCCCCAUUUGGUUAUGUGCAUCAUGUUAGUCAGCAGUAGCCAUUCCACGAAUUCCUCAUGGGUAGUGCAACCAGUUAAAAAGUGUAUAAAACAUUAUACAUAGAAAAACUCUCACAUCCUUUGGAUGUUUGCAGUUCAUCAUAACUUUGUGGUUACCUUUCCGCAACAUAAAUUUAAAAAAAAAAUCACACACACACAUACACUCACACAGACCCAUAUAUAGAAACCCAUUCAUCCAGUCAUACACCAUCCAGAGUGUAGUGCAUGGGACUGAAUUCCAUGAGGCACGAAGGGGGUGAUCCCAUCCUCAGGGUAGUCCAUCAUCUUCAAGGCUUAAUGCCACUCGCUGGGGAGACAAACCAAAGAAUUCAUCAUUAGAUCCAUAAGAGUUACUAUUUAUUUAGUAUUGACAAAUCACAGACUUACGUUACUUUAACAGGUAUUAGCUCACAUAAUGUUCAAACUAUCCUAAGAGACAGGAUUUAUCCUAUUUAUUUUACAGAUGAGAAACAAAACUCAAUGAGCUUAAGUAGGGUUUGUUCUGGAUCACAUAGCAAGUGGCUGAACUAAAAUUUGAUCCCAGGUCUGUAUGAAUCCAAAGCUGUAGAUUUUUUCAUCAUUCUGUUUUGUAUCUUUGUAAAGAAGAGUUGCACAGAUCUAAAUUUUCUUAAUCCUCCCUUAUAGGAUUUUAGGUUUGGUCAAUUUCAGUGGGUUAGCUUUGGCAAAUGUUAAAUUUCAGGCUAUGGGGUUACUUGUCUCUAGCAUGCUAAUCACAUUUAGAAAGGUAAUAUACUGCACCUUCCCAACAGAUUAAACACAGUUGGGAGGCAAUGCAGGUUAAUUAAAUUCCAUCCCUCUCUCCCUCACCCCUGCUUUCCAGUCAUUAGGUAGAUGCUAGACUCCUGUCUGCCAAAAAUGGCUGACCAUGGGAAGGUGAGCCCACUAACCCCUGAACCAGUCUAUUCCAUUGUGGACAACAGAUUUAAAUUCUUUCCUAUAUUAAUGUGAAAUUUGUUUGUUUAUAUCUUCUGACAUUCCCUGAUUCCAUCUCAGACUCAGAGACAGUUCUACAUAGGACAACCCUUGAAAUUUAUAGAUGGUGUUUGAAUUCCCUUCCGUUCAUUCUGAGUGUUUUCUUCUCCAGGGUACACAUCUAACUUUCCCCAGCUAGUCCUGAUGUAAUCUUGUUUGCCUCUUUUCCAUUUCCCAGAUACCCUCCUUUGGAAAGACCCUCCCCAGCUUCAGUACUUUUCCUCAUAGUUAUGUGAAUUUGGGCCAGCCACUUUACUUCUCUGAGACUUAGUUUUAUCAUCUAUCAAAUGGGAAUAGUAACAGGACCUACCUCACAGGGUUGUUGAGGAAUCAAAUGAGAUAAUGCACAGAGAGUGUUUAACAUAGUACCUAACAACACAUAGGGCCCAGAAUAUCCUAGGUCAACGUAACCAACAUAAAAUAGAAUCAGACUAGUAUCUCCCAUCUCUGGACAUUCUACAUAUGAUAAAAAGUAACUCUACUGCCUUUCAAGUCAUCUUUGGGUUAUCUGUAGUUUUUUUAUGAAUGCAAUGGCCAUCCUCCACCAGUGUAGAUAUUUAAGACUAUCUUAUUCUAGUCUAGCUACCCUCCCACUCUCUCUAAGACAGAUCUCUAGGCCAAAGAUAGGCCCCAGUAGUGAUGGUACAGUUAUCCGAGAAAUGGACAGAGGAGAGACAGGUUGUUGAGAAUAUUGAUUUCCAGAGCUUCAAGGCUAUUUACCUCACGAUAUAAAGGAAAGAGCAUGGGCUUUUGUGUAUAUACAGACUGGAGUUUGAAUUCUGGUUCUGCCACUUCCU